rnacentral:ncRNA from 1 species
GCAGAGUAGGCCUGUGUGCGUUAAGUGCCAGCCGGACAGGGAGUUGCCGGCCGGACGAAAAGGAGCGUUCCGUCUGGGACCGUUUCUUGCGGUACACAAGCCGCAUCCCGCUGC